AUGACUCUGUUUCCCUUACAGUGCCUUCACCCAAGGCCUGCAGUGUACUUUGAUUUUUUUGGAGUGUACUUACAAACAGUCCUUGAUCACCACUAAAACCAACAGUGUUCUUCACCCUUCGGAGUGGACUUCAGAACAGCCCUACAUUUUCACCCAAGCUUAUGGUGUUAUACGAUCCUUUGGACUAGACUUGGGAAUACUUCAUUAGGUCUACAUCUUCUGCAGCUGUCCUCUGACAGAGAUUUUCACAUUGAUUAUUGAAAAGUAGACUUUUAAAACAUUGAAGACAUCUAUACCAGGCUGGCAUCAUGUCUAAUAAAAAGCGAACAAAUAGUUCAAAGCCAGGAAUAAUGUUCUACUUUCACCACCAACCAAAGAAAGGAAAAACUGACAUUCCACUUCAAACACAGAACUUAGCACUGGACAAUGAAAUAGUAACUAUUGACUGUGAGGAAGUUGUUGCUGAGACAUCAGCUGAAUCACACGAUAAGUCUACAGAUGAAAAGCAAUAUCCAGCUGUGUGGUCAAAAGAACAAUUUGACGAAUUCAAAAAGAAACAUGAGUGGCUAUUUGCGUCUAGGGGAAAACUCGGCUGUACAAUCUGUGCAGAAGUUUCUAACUUAAAGAUUCACGCUGCUCGAGGCAUAAAUAUUGCUUCUCAGUGGGCAGAAUGUAACAUUUUACCUUUUGGUAAAACUAAGGAAACAGAGCUCACAUCUCUUCGCAAAAAAAUUUAUAUACACAAAAAUAGCGCUGCUCAUGCAGAAGCAGAAAAAAUUCUAGAAACUGCUAGAAAAGAUAUUCUGCUAAACAUAAAUGGAAGAAGUCAAGAAACUGCUUUUGAAAUCACUAGCCGUGUAUUCAGAACAGCUUACUACAUUGCUAAAAUGAAUAGGCCAUUUACUGACCAUGAGAGCUUGAUUGACCUGCAAAAAGUGAAUGGAGUUCAGAUUGGGCGUUUGCUUCAUAGUAGAAUGGUCUGCGGAGACAUUAUAGAACACAUUUCGGCUGAAAUGAGGAAAAAGAUUGUCUCACAAAUUAUAACAAA